ensembl:lncRNA
GUUAAUACUCACCCCUCCCUUCUCCUUAGCAGAGGCCCAGAGCUUGCUGGCCUCCUGAGGGACUAUUGAAGUUCUACUCUGGCCAUUAAUCUUCCACUUCUGCUCCAUGCCCUUCAUCUCCUGUAUUUACUCUGCCCCUUUGGCUGAGGGAAGGGCUCACCUCAAAACAAUAUAAGGUAUUUUUUGUUUUGUUUUGUUUUUAGGGGGCUGUGCUGCAGAGCUUGUGGAAUCUUAGUUCCCCCAUCAGGAAUUGAACCUGAGCCACCAUAGUUAAAAUGACGAGUCCUAACCACUGGGCCACCAAGGGAAUUCCCUAACCAGUUUUAGCAAAUGGGAAGCCAGUGGACAAAUGGCAGAAGACCAGAAAUUUAUUCUCUGGAGACGUGGGCUUGGAGUGGCCCUGGACUUGGGGACAUCAGGCCCAGAGAGAAGUUGAGAGAGGGCAGGGAUUACUCUGAAGCCGCUGUAUUUGGACAUCCGGUUCUCCUUUCUGCAAAAGCCUAAGAAGAAACAAGCACUGUUGUAAGAUUGGGUUCCUUGGGAACAGAAUCUGAGAUGAGACUUGGAUGCUGAAGGUUUACUGAGAGAAGGUUACCGAUCGGGAUGCGAAGAAGACAGAGGUACAAGUCCACAGAGAUUUGCUAGGACCGCUGAGAGAAAGGCUUCCAGAAGUGACCUGUAUCUAUCUGGAUAUGGUCGAGGAGCUCUGGGGCUUGUCUGGAACCAUCUCACAUGGAGGCUCCAGAUCUAUAUUUCUUCCACCGGAUCACGUUGGAGUUCCCCCUGCCCCAUCUCCAACUUGCAUGAGGAGACAACCAAGUUCUCUCCCAGGUCUCACAUGCUAUGAGGUCUAAAAAAUAUAUGGAAAU